AAGACCGAAUGAGCUGCAGCCUACUAAGGCAUUCUACCCCUGAGACGCUCUCAUUAGAGUUUUGCCUAGACUGCACAACCGAUGAGGGAAGAUAAUUUCACACGACUAUCUGUAGUUCCUAACCAAUGCCGGAGGCAUCCAUUAGCAUGUUCAUGGGUUCAUGCUGCUCGGGGACAUCCAGAACUGCGUGUGCAGAUGAAUGUUAUAUCCACAUUUCCAUCCUUACUAUCUAAACAUUGAACACAUCCAGGAGACGUGACGAGUUAAAAACGGCUUUGUUGUUGCUGGCGGCGGGGGUGUUUUGGGCGGCUUUAAUGCUGACUUUCCUAUACCUGUAUUUUUGCCACCGAAAUAACAAUAAGAAGGAAAUAAAGUAUUCAAAAUUGGAAGAGGUCGUGGUGGAGGGGAAAGGAGAGACCAAAAAAGGAAAAAAAGCUGAUGACGUCAAGCAGAUGGAGGAGGACGGCGGAGAUUGAACCGAUCUGCAGAGAAUGUGAACAGCUGGGAGUUUGGGGAAGGGGAAAAAUAUAAAAGGGGAGUAAAAAAAAAAAAAUAUAUAAAAAUAAUAAAAAAAAUAGAAAAUGAUCUGAAAAAAUAAAAAAAAAUAA